CUUCUUUCAAAUCUAAAUUUAGCAAAUAUCUUUCAAUAUUACACUUUUCUCCUUUGAAACUUGAAGGCUUUGGGCAUUUAAGAAUCAGUGUUUCAGCUGCAAUGCUUCUGAGAGGAAGGGAGAUUUUCAAAGAGCCUUUGUCAGCCCAGGAGUGAGUGAGUUAAUCCAUCCACCUGCCCCAACUGAGAGCAGAAGACACUGUUUAUAGGACUGAAGACAGAGGUGCUGGGUGCAAGGACUGAGACUAAGAAUGGAAAUGCGAGAACCAGGAUUCAGGGUAAAAGAAAAAAAGAAACUGCCUGGCAUACAGUAAGGAUUUAUUACUCCUCCUCCCUUCCCAAGAAGAAUGUGUUGCCCCCGAGACUUCUGGUUGAUCUUAAGGGUGCAGCGACAAGAACUGCAAGGUGCUGCUCCCUCCCGUGACUCCUAAGCUGCUAGACGAGAGCUGUGCUUCUCCUAUCUAGGUCUCAAGACAUGGCCCUGUGUUUCCAGUCCUUCAGGGGAGGUUCCAGGAUAGUGUGGCAAUGGUGGUACCCAGGGUGGACUUGGUCUGUCACUCUACAGAGUGGGUCCUCAUCCUGAAGGAUCAUAGAGUCACCCAGGAGCUUCUAAAAAUGCCACUCGCCCGGACUCGUGCCUUCCUCACCAACUCGGGAUUUCCGGGGCUCUGGAUUAUCGGGCCCCCUCUGGCUUAUUUUUCCCUGUCUUUGGAAGUUCCCAGUACUCACAACUGGAUGCUGCGGAAAUAAGACAUGAGGACCUCGGCGUCGUCUCUGGGCACACAGCUCACCGGUCAUGAGUGAAGCUCCCAAGGCCAGCGAACCUCUCUCCAGCACCAACGGGGCUGUGACCAAUACUGCCUCAUGCCCAGUCCCUGAUCUUAUUUGUGGUAAAGCAGCCCACACUUUUUAGUGCAAGGAUUUCUGCCCCUCCCUGUUUGAUAGCGAUCAGAGACGCCUCACCGUGGGCCAUCCAUGCGGGUGUUUCGUUCACAUUUUUUCCAUUGGCAAUCUCUCUGAAGUAAAACCUCUCUCGUAUAUGAAUUAACUGGGACAAAGAAUGGGUGGCCUGCAGGGAGCCACGUUUAAAUAUACCUUGAGACGGUUUCAUGAAGAUUUCUUCCCCUCACCUCAUUUUCUAUGUGACUAUGAGGAUGUGCUCUUGUUUUCUGCAUGUUUCUCAUAAUCACUUUCUCGCUAGUGUGGCCUCUUCCGCCUCGCCUUCACAGACGGAGCUUGAUAAUACCUGCCUGAAGGGUGUUUGCUGUGAACUGGUCCCUUGAAGAAUCUUGAUGGACAGUGGCAAUCAUAAAGGCUAAAUUAGAGUGGGAACUGAAGGGAGAUGAGUGGAAGGGCAGGGAGGAAUCAGAGAACGUUAUUCUUCUUUUUUGUUUUGUUUUGUUUUGAGACAGAGUUUUGCUCUUGUUGCCCAGGCUGGAGUGCAAUGGUGUGAUCUCGGCUCACUGUAACCUCUGCCUCCCGGGUUCAAGUGAUUCUCCUGCCCCAGCCUUCCACGUAGCUGGGACCACAGGCACUCGCCACCAUGCCUGGCUAAUUUUGUAUUUUUAGUAGAGAUGAGGUUUCACCAUGUUGGCCAGCCUGGUCUCAAACUCCUGACCUCAGGUGAUCUGCCUGUCUUGGCUUCUCAGAGUGCUGGGAUUACAGGCAUGAGCCAUCCACUGAGCCAGAGAACAUUAUUCUUCUAAAUUCUGGGUUGUGAGUGUGUGAACAUGCGUAAGCAUGUGACCAUGUACAUACUAUUUCCCCCUUCCCUCUCUCUCGAGCAGCCCUACAUACCCUUUUCCUAGACAAAAUAACACCUUCCGAAUCACAGACCCCUUAGUUAUAAUAUCAGCAUGCCUACAAUUCCACCUGAGUAGCUUGACAUGAAGUCAUUACUUGUGUACAUCUUAACCUGCACCUGCUUAAUGUGAGGACUCCAGGUCAUAGCAAUUGUACUACUCAGAAACGCCUACUUCUGAUCAAUAAAGAGAAUCAUUAAACUUCUCAGAACAAAUUACUCUAUGUCCGUGCGAGGAAAUCGGAGCAGCCAUGAAACAUCUGCAUCUGGUACCCCUGGGGGGUGGGAUGACAGACUCUUCUUUCCUCCUUGGCACCUCUAUUCUCUAAGUUCUCAACAAGAAGUUUCCCCGGGAAGCAGCCUCCCUUUCCACCCUGCCCAUCUCACCCCACACUGCAUCAGCCGGUCUCUCUCUUCCCCUAAUGCCCUGCACGAACACCUGCCAUUGCAUUUACUGACCUGUAGUUCAAUUAUCUACUUAUCUCACCUGCUUUGCUCAUGAUCCUAUGCAACCCUUGAGGUCAUGGAUUGUAUCUUGUCAAUCUCUACUUCCCAGCAAUGAGCACCAUAUUUACUGCAUGGUAAUUGCCAAGUAUUUGUUGAAUGAAUGAAGGACCCAAACCAUUAACAGCGCUGUCUCUGGGUGGUGAUUUUUAUUUUCUUCUCUUUGCUUUUUCUUCGUCUAAGUUUUUUGUUGUUGUUCUUACUUUGAGGAUGUAUUACUUCUAUAAUCAGAUAAAAGAAUUUAUAAAAAUUGAGCCACUCCUUUCUGCUAGUUGAUCCAAAUGAAGAAAAUACUUUGAAUAAUUUAAUCAAUGAACACACUUUUGCUGAAUGUCUAUUAUGGGCUCUAUGUGCAGAUAUUUAUGCUGCCUUUAAAAAGUCUUUCAUGCGUUAUGUACUUUAAACUUCUUAAAUGAAUACAUUCCCAUUCAAAAAUUUUUCAAAUGUCCUAAUCUUCGGAGCUCACGUGUGUUUAGAAUUAACUGCUCUGUGACUCCGCUGGGCCUCUUAUAGUUUAAGAUAUCUAGAGGGGGUGGCUGUAAGGAAAAUACAGUUUUUAUCCUUACAAACUGGUCUAAGUGAGAAGUGCUUUUCAAACAUAUCCACCUACCUGGCAAAAUCUUAACACCUUUCAAAUUCUAACUCAUGUAAAAAAUAGGUUGUUUUUUAGCCUGGACUAGAGGAGAGCCAUGUUUUCAUUUUUCAACAAAGGAUAGAGUCCUAAAUCCUGUCAUUUGCAACAACAUGGAUGGGCCUAGAGGAUGUUGUGCUAAGUAAAGCAAGCUGGCACAGAAAGACAAAUACCACAGGGUCUCACCAACAUGUGGAAUCUAAAAAAGUCCAAUUCAGAAGGACUCAGGUGGGUGCCAGAGGCUGUGGGGAAGAGAUGGAGAUAAAGAGAUGUUGGUCAAAGUGUGCAGAGUUUUUGUUAAAAGGAGUAAGUUUUUGAGCUCUAUGGCAUAUCGUGGUGACCAUAGUUAAUGAUAAUGUAAUGUACAUUUCAAAAUUGCUAAAAGGGUAGAUUUUAAAUGUUUGUACCAUAAAACAAAAGCAUGUGAGUUUCUGGAUAUGUUAAUUAGUGGGAUUUAAUCAUUCCAAAAUAUACACAUAUAUCAAAACA
rnacentral:lncRNA from 1 species